UUGAAUGAAUGGAAACAAGUUGUCUGACUUCAAACUUGGUUUAAUGACCAUCGAGGAUGCAACAUAACAGAACGGCAGUCACACACAACUGGAGCUACAUGUCCAGCCAGCCUACAGAGUAACACGCAUGCGCAGAAUAACUUCCUACUAGUACAGCACCCGCAGCAGCUCAACAUAGACUGUGAACAACAUAUACUGAACACAGUGACUGAUCUACAUAGCUUUUUUAAAA